GCUCACCCGGACCAUUCAAAUUCAUCAUACCUAGCUCUCUACCUGCCGAUCUUGUGUAUAGGACUUGGUCUGAAUCCUUUAAAAUCGUAGGUAAGGCAAGACUAGAACAGAAGUCUCCUCUGUCCCCUACUUCACUACUGUUAAAAUCAUUUUCUAUUUCAUUGAGACUAUAUUAUUACACAACGAAUGAGAUAAUGCAGGAUGGAUCAUGGUCAAUGGUAUGAGUCAGUUCUAGACUACAGCUGUUCAAAGUUUAUCAUGGUUUUAUAUUUCUUAUUCUUUGGGGGUGUAGAUGAUGAAGCUCUGUAGAAUGGUAAGAAUACUUGAGAAUAGUGUAAGACCCAAGGCUGAAUGUCUCCGUUCCAAUUCUCCAUCUUCCCCUCCAACUGACCCAAUAACUAAAGAAGUUCCACUUGACCAAGUUUUACCCCAGCUCUCUCACCUGCCUUCUGCCUUAUUCCUUGUCAACUUUCUUGAUUUUCUCAUUCACAUGGCUUCUGAUCUUUUUAUUUUGUCUCUAUUUUACCCGCUCCUUCAAAUUUGGUAAUUGAUAUAGUUUCUCCCACAUAAAUCAUUUCCCCCAGGUUUUCAGAACAGAGAUCCAAAUUUUCUCUAUGAUUUUAUCCAAUUUCUGUGACUCUUGGAAACUAUGAAGCCCUCUUUUGCUUUCCAUUUAUUCCACUGGUUUCUGUAUGACUAUAACACAACAAAAUAUGGAAUUGCUUGUAUUUAUUAUAGAAUUAAUCAGCAUCAAAAAAAUGAAUAUAGGGCUGGCACAGUGGCUCACACCUAUAAUGCCAGAACUUUGGGAGGCUAAGGCAAGAGGAUCGCUUGAGGCCAGGAGUUCAGAAACAGCCAGGGCAAGAUAGUGAGACCUCAUCUCUACAGAAAUCUUAUAAAAUUAUCUCAGCAUGCCUAUAUGUGCCUGCAGUCCAAACAUUUUGACUUCUGUAUUACUGGUAAUUUUUCUAUCUUGUUGUCACUCUCACUUGCUUGCUUUCUUGCUUGCUUGUUCUGACUUGAAUGUUAUAUGGAAAGGCAGGUGGGGCAGGAGUGGAAGGAGUCCACUAGCCAACAACAAGUGAGAAGUUAACUCCUUAAUUCAACACUCUUUAAGAAGGUGAAUUUUGCCAACAACCAUUUAAGUAAGCUAAAAAGGAGAUUCUUCCCAGUUGACCCUUGAGACGACUAUUAUCCUAGCCAACACCUUGAUGCAGCCUAAUGAGAGACCUUGAAGUAGAAGCCCCAGAUAAGCCAUGACCA
rnacentral:lncRNA from 1 species